rnacentral:rRNA from 1 species
AUCGAACGCUGGCGGCAGGCCUAAUACAUGCAAGUAGAGCGGAGCGGCGGACGGGUGAGUAAUGCCUAGGAAUCUGCCUGGUAGCGGGGGAUAACGUCCGGAAAUGGGUGUUAAUACCGCAUAUUAACAGAUGAGCUUAGGUCGGAUUAGCUAGUCGGUGGGGUAAUGGCCUACAAAGGCGACGACCCGUAACCGGUCUCAGAGGAUGAUCAGUCACACUGGAACUGAGACAGGGUCCGGACUCCUACGGGAUGCAGCAGUGGGGAAUAUUGGAAAAUGGGCGAAAGCCUGAUCCAGCCAUGCCGCGUGUGUGAAGAAGGUCUUCGGAUUGUAAAGCACUUUAAGUUGGGAGGCGUUACCAACAGAGUAAGCACCGGCUAACUUCGUGCCAGCAGCCGCGGUAAUUC